CCGCACGGGUGAGUAACACGUAUCCAACCUGCCGUCUACUCUUGGCCAGCCUUCUGAAAGGAAGAUUAAUCCAGGAUGGCAUCAUGAGUUCACAUGUCCGCAUGAUUAAAGGUAUUUUCCGGUAGACGAUGGGGAUGCGUUCCAUUAGGCAGUUGGUGGGGUAACGGCCCACCAAACCUUCGAUGGAUAGGGGUUCUGAGAGGAAGGUCCCCCACAUUGGAACUGAGACACGGUCCAA
rnacentral:rRNA from 1 species